rnacentral:tRNA from 1 species
GCCUUCGUGGUGUAAUGGUAGCAUUCUCUGCGCAUAUUCGAGAUGUCCAGGUUCGAAUCCUGGCGAAGGCG